CCUACGGGAGGCAGCAGUGAGGAAUAUUGGACAAUGGGCGCAAGCCUGAUCCAGCCAUGCCGCGUGCAGGAAGACGGUCCUAUGGAUUGUAAACUGCUUUUGUACAGGAAGAAACACUCCCUCGUGAGGGAGCUUGACGGUACUGUAAGAAUAAGGAUCGGCUAACUCCGUGCCAGCAGCCGCGGUAAUACGGAGGAUCCAAGCGUUAUCCGGAAUCAUUGGGUUUAAAGGGUCCGUAGGCGGUUUAAUAAGUCAGUGGUGAGAUCUGGUCGCUCAACGAUCAAACGGCCAUUGAUACUGUUAGACUUGAAUUAUUAGGAAGUAACUAGAAUAUGUAGUGUAGCGGUGAAAUGCUUAGAUAUUACAUGGAAUACCAAUUUGCGAAGGCAGGUUACUACUAAUGGAUUGACGCUGAUGGACGAAAGCGUGGGGAGCGAACAGGAUUAGAUACCCUGGUAGUCCACGCCGUAAACGAUGGAUACUAGCUGUUCGGAGCAAUCUGAGUGGCUAAGCGAAGUGAUAAGUAUCCACCUGGGGAUACGUUGCAAGAUGAAACUUAAGGAUUGAGGC
rnacentral:rRNA from 1 species